GACGAACGCUGGCGGCGUGCUUAACACAUGCAAGUCGAACGGAAAGGCCCUGCUUUUGUGGGGUGCUCGAGUGGCGAACGGGUGAGUAACACGUGAGUAACCUGCCCUUGACUUUGGGAUAACUUCAGGAAACUGGGGCUAAUACCGGAUAGGAGCUCCUGCUGCAUGGUGGGGGUUGGAAAGUUUCGGCGGUUGGGGAUGGACUCGCGGCUUAUCAGCUUGUUGGUGGGGUAGUGGCUUACCAAGGCUUUGACGGGUAGCCGGCCUGAGAGGGUGACCGGCGACAUUGGGACUGAGAGACGGCCCAGACGCCUACGGGGGGCAGCAGUGGGGAAUAUUGCACAAUGGGCGGAAGCCUGAUGCAGAAACCCCGGGUGCGGGAUGACGGCCUGCGGGGUGUAAACCGCUUUAGCCUGUGACGAAGCGUGAGUGACGGUAAUGGGUAAAGAAGCACCGGCUAACUACGUG
rnacentral:rRNA from 1 species